GCCCUUGCAGCACAACCGGUAGUGCGUCUGGAUUUGGUAACUAUCUAGAUGAUCUGGGUUCGAUCCCCAGCAGGGACA